rnacentral:rRNA from 1 species
UACAGAGGGGGCAAGCGUUGUUCGGAAUUACUGGGCGUAAAGGGCGCGUAGGCGGCCAGCACAAGUCAGUUGUGAAAUCUCCGAGCUUAACUCGGAAAGGUCAACUGAUACUGUGCGGCUAGAGUGCGGAAGGGGCAACUGGAAUUCUUGGUGUAGCGGUGAAAUGCGUAGAUAUCAAGAGGAACACCUGCGGCGAAGGCGGGUUGCUGGGCUGACACUGACGCUGAUGCGCGAAAGCCAGGGGAGCGAACGGG